rnacentral:rRNA from 1 species
GUGGGGAAUCUUGCGCAAUGGGCGAAAGCCUGACGCAGCCAUGCCGCGUGAAUGAUGAAGGUCUUAGGAUUGUAAAAUUCUUUCACCGGGGACGAUAAUGACGGUACCCGGAGAAGAAGCUCCGGCUAACUUCGUGCCAGCAGCCGCGGUAAUACGAAGGGGGCUAGCGUUGCUCGGAAUUACUGGGCGUAAAGGGCGCGUAGGCGGACAGCUUAGUCAGAGGUGAAAGCCCAGGGCUCAACCUUGGAAUUGCCUUUGAUACUGGCUGUCUUGAGUUUGGGAGAGGUGAGUGGAACUCCGAGUGUAGAGGUGAAAUUCGUAGAUAUUCGGAAGAACACCAGUGGCGAAGGCGACAUACUGGUCCAUUACUGACGCUGAGGCUCGAAAGCGUGGGGAGCAAACAGGAUUAGAAACCCUAGUAGUCC